GAUGAACGCUGGCGGCGUGCCUAAUACAUGCAAGUCGAGCGAACAGAUGAGGAGCUUGCUCCUCUGACGUUAGCGGCGGACGGGUGAGUAACACGUGGAUAACCUACCUAUAAGACUGGGAUAACUUCGGGAAACCGGAGCUAAUACCGGAUAAUAUAUUGAACCGCAUGGUUCAAUAGUGAAAGACGGUUUUGCUGUCACUUAUAGAUGGAUCCGCGCCGCAUUAGCUAGUUGGUAAGGUAACGGCUUACCAAGGCAACGAUGCGUAGCCGACCUGAGAGGGUGAUCGGCCACACUGGAACUGAGACACGGUCCAGACUCCUACGGGAGGCAGCAGUAGGGAAUCUUCCGCAAUGGGCGAAAGCCUGACGGAGCAACGCCGCGUGAGUGAUGAAGGUCUUCGGAUCGUAAAACUCUGUUAUUAGGGAAGAACAAAUGUGUAAGUAACUAUGAACGUCUUGACGGUACCCAAUCAGAAAGCCACGGCUAACUACGUG
rnacentral:rRNA from 1 species